rnacentral:rRNA from 1 species
CAGCCGCCGCGGUAAUACGAAGGGUGCAAGCGUUACUCGGAAUUACUGGGCGUAAAGCGUGCGUAGGUGGUGGUUUAAGUCCGUUGUGAAAGCCCUGGGCUCAACCUAGGAAUUGCAGUGGAUACUGGGUCACUAGAGUGUGGUAGAGGAUAGUGGAAUUUCCGGUGUAGCAGUGAAAUGCGUAGAGAUCGGAAGGAACAUCUGUGGCGAAGGCGACUAUCUGGGCCAACACUGACACUGAGGCACGAAAGCGUGGGGAGCAAACAGGAUUAGAUACCCCCGUAGUCCCUGUCUCUUAUAC